ACGAACCGUGCGAACGUUGUUCGGAAUCACUGGGCUUAAAGGGCGCGUAGGCGGGUGUCCAAGUCAGGGGUGAAAUCCCACGGCUCAACCGUGGAAGUGCCUCUGAUACUGGCCAUCUCGAGGGAGGUAGGGGCGUGCGGAACUUCCGGUGGAGCGGUGAAAUGCGUAGAUAUCGGAAGGAACACCAGAGGCGAAGGCGGCUACCUGGACAAUUGCUGACGCUCAGGCACGAAAGCGUGGGGAGCAAAAGGGA
rnacentral:rRNA from 1 species